AAGGUAGCAUAAUCACUUGUUCUUUAAAUGAGGACCAGUAUCAAUGGCAUCACGAGGAUCUUACUGUCUCCUCCCUCUAAUCAGUGAAACUGAUUUCCCCGUGAAGAAGCGAGGAUACUUAUAUAAGACGAGAAGACCCCAUGGAGCUUUAAACCCGAUGACACCCACUUACUCUAUACCCUUACAUAUUUUUUGACGAUGACCACUCGGUUUUAGGUUGGGGUGACCACGGAGUAUAAAACAACCUCCUUGAAUAAAGGAAAAAUGAUCCUCAUCAGAGAAAAACAUUUCCAAGAACUAAUAAACUAAUUUUUAAUGACCCGAUAUUCGAUCAACGAACCAAGUUACCCUGGGGAUAACAGCGCAAUCCACCUCAAGAGCUCCUAUCGACAGGUGGGUUUACGACCUCGAUGUUGGAUCAGGGUAUCCCAGUGGUGCAGCAGCUACUAAAGGUUCGUUUGUUCAACGAUUAAAACCCU
rnacentral:rRNA from 1 species